GACGAACGCUGGCGGCGUGCUUAACACAUGCAAGUCGAGCGGUAAGGCCCUUUCGGGGUACACGAGCGGCGAACGGGUGAGUAACACGUGGGUGACCUGCCCUUAGCUCUGGGAUAAGCCUGGGAAACUGGGUCUAAUACCGGAUAUGACCUCAUGACUCAUGUUGUGGGGUGGAAAGCCUUGUGCGGCUAGGGAUGGGCCCGCGGUCUAUCAGCUUGUUGGUGGGGUAAUUGCCACCAAGGCGACGACGGGUAGCCGGCCUGAGAGGGCGACCGGCCACACUGGGACUGAGACACGGCCCAGACUCCUACGGGAGGCAGCAGUGGGGAAUCUUGCGCAAUGGGCGAAAGCCUGACGCAGCGACGCCGCGUGAGGGAUGACGGCCUCGGUGUAG
rnacentral:rRNA from 1 species